AUUGAACGCUGGCGGCAUGCCUUACACAUGCAAGUCGAACGGUAACGGGCCUUCGGGUGCCGACGAGUGGCGAACGGGUGAGUAAUACAUCGGAACGUGCCCGAUCGUGGGGGAUAACGAGGCGAAAGCUUUGCUAAUACCGCAUACGAUCUACGGAUGAAAGCAGGGGACCGCAAGGCCUUGCGCGGACGGAGCGGCCGAUGGCAGAUUAGGUAGUUGGUGGGAUAAAAGCUUACCAAGCCGACGAUCGGUAGCUGGUCUGAGAGGAUGAUCAGCCACACUGGGACUGAGACACGGCCCAGACUCCUACGGGAGGCAGCAGUGGGGAAUUUUGGACAAUGGGCGCAAGCCUGAUCCAGCCAUGCCGCGUGCAGGAUGAAGGCCUUCGGGUUGUAAACUGCUUUUGUACGGAACGAAAAGCCUUCUUUUAAUACAGGAGGGUCAUGACGGUACCGUAAGAAUAAGCACCGGCUAACUACGUG
rnacentral:rRNA from 1 species